UUGCAAGGACGCCUCAAGGUCGUUGGAAGAGCCGGCGUGGGAAUUGAUAAUGUGGAUCUCCAUGCCGCAACAGAGUACGGGUGUUUGGUGGUAAAUGCUCCCACUGCAAACACUGUAGCGGCUACAGAGCACGGCAUAGCACUUCUUGUCGCCAUGGCAAGGAACGUGCCGCAGGCCAGCGCUUCCAUGAAAGAGGGUCAGCUUUUAACAUUUUUUACUUAAGUGCUCUGUUUUAACUUUUCUUUGUUUAAUGAAAAGUAGUUUCAGGGAAUUUGGGUGAAGAAAGAUGAAUUGUUGAUCUCUGGGAUUGCUGUAGGAGAUAGCAAAGAAUUGUGGUUGCAUAUGGGUACUUUCUGGGACGCAGGCCCUGCUGUAAAAGUCGCUUACAAGCGUAAUGAUACAUGGAAUCCUUUCAGUAUGGUGCUCAAAAUGGGAAUCGGUGAGUGGGGUUCUCCUUCAGCGCCUGCCUUGGCUCACUCCCUUAGUAAUUAUGCGACCCAGUAACCAACACAGGCAAAAAAAUAAAGCCAGACUGAAUGCAAUUCCAGGGCCCUAUCAAAUUCAGAGUAAAAACUCUUGAUAAACAAGCAAUGUGUUGUUCCUUAUACGUUACUGGGGGUUGUAGUCCGACAUUUGUGUGAAGGCCGAUCUACAACAGUGAAGCUUGGACCUGUGAAGGGCUUGUGGCUCAGAAGCAAAGUACCCUAUAGCGGUUACAGAAGGAAAAUGAAGGAUGUGCGUUCACUCAGAUGCAGAUGUACUCAAAUACAUUACUCAAACACAAUGCAAAGCACAGAUCGAGAAUGUACUGGAGAAUGCUCAUGACUACUCCAGAUUGUUCGAAAGUUAAAAAUUAAAUGAACUCUGCCAAAUUCCUUCAAUGGCAUUUAAUGCACAAAGAUUUUUUACAGAUUUGAAUUA